UACGUAUGUUCCAAGCGUUAUCCGGAUUUAUUGGGCGUAAAGCGAGCGCAGACGGUUGUUUAAGUCCGAAGUGAAAGCCCACAGCUUAACUGUGGAAGUGCUUUGGAAACUGGAUAACUUGAGUGCAGUAGAGGAGAGUGGAACUCCAUGUGUAGCGGUGAAAUGCGUAGAUAUAUGGAAGAACACCAGUGGCGAAGGCGGCUCUCUGGACUGUAACUGACGUUGAGGCUCGAAAGUGUGGGUAGCAAACAGG
rnacentral:rRNA from 1 species